GGGGCUGUAGCUCAGUGGUAGAGCACUUGCCUGGCAUGUGUGAGACACUGGGUUCAAUCCUCAGUACCA
rnacentral:tRNA from 1 species